GAUUGGAAGCCUGAGAGCGUGGAAUGGAACAGGAGAGUCUUGAAUCGACAGGAUGGGACCAGGAAUGGGGAUCUGAACAUCAUCGGCUAGGGCCGCACUUAUAUCCCACCCUACUUACCCAGAAGGCAGUUAAAGGUCAAUGACAUUGUGGUGGGUCUGGUGUCCCAUGUCGGCCAGACCAGAAACUCAACAACAUUUACAGAUGCACCAUAGAAAGCCUUCUAUCCAGGUGCAUAAUGCUCUGGUAUGGCAACUGCUCUGCCCAGGACCGUAAGAAACUACAGAAGGUUGUGUGCAUAGUCCAGGCCGUCAUAGAAACCAACCUGCCAUCCAUGGACUCCAUUUACAUUUGUUGCUGCUAAAAGUCUGCCAACAUUAUCAAAGACCUGUGCCACCCCAGUAAUGCUCUCCUACAAUCUCUUCCAUCAGGCAGAAUAUACUGCAGCUUGAAUACAUGCACCAGCACAUUCAGGAACAGCUUCUUCCCUGUCAUUGUUAGACUAAUGAAUGGACUCUCUAGCUUCAAGUAAUGCUGAUCUUAUUAAUAAUGAUCAUGCCUAAUGCAUGUCUUGUGUAGUGUAACCUGUAUGCCUUAAGUUGCCCAAGUUUUUAUUCACCCUACCAUCUGUAUCUCCUUGCUUACAAGAUCUGUCUGUACUGCUCGUAAACAAAGGUUUUCACUGUAUUUUGACACACAUGACAAUACAUAAAU